GUCCGAUUAGCGCAGUGGUAGCGCGCUGCUCUUAUACUUAGAAGGCUUUGAUGCAUCUCUGUAUGGCAAUGCAGAGGCCGCGAGUUCGACCCUCGCAUUGGACA